rnacentral:rRNA from 1 species
UACGUAGGGAGCAAGCGUUGUCCGGAAUCAUUGGGCGUAAAGCGCGCGUAGGCGGCUCGAUCAGUCUGCUGUGAAAGUCAAAGGCUCAACCUUUGAAAGCCGGUGGAUACUGUCGAGCUAGAGUCCGGAAGAGGCGAGUGGAAUUCCUGGUGUAGCGGUGGAAUGCGCAGAUAUCAGGAGGAACACCAACGGCGAAGGCAGCUCGCUGGGACGGUACUGACGCUAAGGCGCGAAAGCGUGGGGAGCGAACAGG